AUAUCGCGACGUAGUUUGAUCAGUCGGCUCGAGGACGACGCUGGCGGCGUGCUUAACACAUGCAAGUCGAACGGGGUUAAGGAGCUUGCUUCUUAACUUAGUGGCGAAACGGGGUGAGUAACGCGUGAGGAACCUGCCUUUCAGAGGGGGGACAACAGUUGGAAACGACUGCUAAUACCGCAUGAUACUUGCGAAUGGCAUCAUUUGCAAGUCAAAGAUUUAUCGCUGAAAGAUGGCCUCGCGUCUGAUUAUCUAGUUGGUGGGGUAACGGCCCACCAAGGCGACGAUCAGUAGCCGGACUGAGAGGUUGACCGGCCACAUUGGGACUGAGAUACGGCCCAGACUCCUACGGGAGGCAGCAGUGGGGAAUAUUGGGCAAUGGGCGCAAGCCUGACCCAGCAACGCCGCGUGAAGGAAGAAGGCUUUCGGGUUGUAAACUUCUUUUGUCAGGGAAGAGUAGAAGACUGUACCUGACGAAUAAGCCACGGCUAACUACGUG
rnacentral:rRNA from 1 species